AUUGAACGCUGGCGGCAUGCCUAACACAUGCAAGUCGAACGAGGGGCGGACGGGUGAGUAAUGUCGGGGAAACUGCCUGAUGGAGGGGGAUAACUACUGGAAACGGUAGAUAAUACCGCAUACCAUCGGAUGUGCCCAGAUGGGAUUAGCUAGUAGGUGGGGUAAAGGCUCACCUUGGCGACGAUCCCUAGCUGGUCUGAGAGGAUGACCAGCAACACUGGAACGGAGCAACGGUCCAGACUCCUACGGGCGGCAGCAGUGGGGAUUAUUGGACAAUGGGCGCAAGCCUGACGCAGCCCGGCGGCGUGUGGGAAGAAGGUCUUCGGGUUGUAAAGUACUUUGAGCGAGGAGGCGUUACCCGCAGAAGAAGCACCGGCUAACUCCGUGCCAGCAGCCGCGGUAAUUC
rnacentral:rRNA from 1 species